AGUGAACGCUGGCGGUAGGCCUAACACAUGCAGGUCGAACGGCAGCACAGUAAGAGCUUGCUCUUACGGGUGGCGAGUGGCGGACGGGUGAGGAAUACAUCGGAAUCUACUUUUUCGUGGGGGAUAACGUAGGGAAACUUACGCUAAUACCGCAUACGACCUACGGGUGAAAGCAGGGGAUCUUCGGACCUUGCGCGAUUGAAUGAGCCGAUGUCGGAUUAGCUAGUUGGCGGGGUAAAGGCCCACCAAGGCGACGAUCCGUAGCUGGUCUGAGAGGAUGAUCAGCCACACUGGAACUGAGACACGGUCCAGACUCCUACGGGAGGCAGCAGUGGGGAAUAUUGGACAAUGGGCGCAAGCCUGAUCCAGCCAUACCGCGUGGGUGAAGAAGGCCUUCGGGUUGUAAAGCCCUUUUGUUGGGAAAGAAAAGCAGCAGGUUAAUACCCCGCUGUUCUGACGGUACCCAAAGAAUAAGUACCGGCUAACUUCGUG
rnacentral:rRNA from 1 species